rnacentral:rRNA from 1 species
UUGGAGGGCAAGUCUGGUGCCAGCAGCCGCGGUAAUUCCAGCUCCAAUAGCGUAUAUUAAAGUUGUUGCAGUUAAAAAGCUCGUAGUUGAAUUUUAGGCCUGGCCGGGCGGUCCGUCUUUGGCGAGUACUGUCUUGUUGUCGGGUCUUCCUUCUGGUGAACCAGUAUGUCCUUUAUUGGGUGUGUUGGGGAGCCAGGACCAUUACCUUGAAAAAAUUAGAGUGUUUAAAGCGGGCUAUUGCUUGAAUAGAUUAGCAUGGAAUAAUAGAAUAGGACGUUGUGGUUCUAUUUUGCUGGUUUCUAGGACCACCGUAAUGAUUAAUAGGGAUAGUUGGGGGCAUUAGUAUUCAAUUGUCAGAGGUGAAAUUCUUGGAUUUAUUGAAGACUAACUUCUGCGAAAGCAUUUGCCAAGGAUGUUUUCAUUAAUCAAGAACGAAAGUUAGGGGAUCGAAGACGAUCAGAUACCGUCGUAGUCUUAACCAUAAACUAUGCCGACUAGGGAUCGGACGAUGUUAAUUUUUUAAUGACUCGUUCGGCGCCUUACGGGAAAC